AUAAUUCCAUAAAUCAUGGAAUACUGAAAUAUAAGUUUUAAAUAAGUGUUAGAAAGGAUAUGUGAGCAAAGAAUUGAGUUUUAAUGAGUUUUAGUACGUUUUUUUAGAAAAGUCGCCGAUUAGAGUUUUUCGGCGAAAUUGCCGAGAAAUAUUAGGAAUUUCCAUUGAAAAAUAAUGUAUAUGGAAUCUAGAGAUCAAAAUAAGUGUAAUGUGAGUAAGAUUGAGCAAGAAAUUAGAAUUAAAUCGGUGCUCGUAUAGGAAACGUGAUAGAAGGGCAACAUGGUCUUUCUAAAUGAAUUAAACUAAUUAAAUGUCCUAUACUAAAAGUGACGUUUUUUUUUAAGUGUAUUAGGCAUGAGAUGACUUCAUUUUUUUAAGUGGGAAAAUAUAAAGAGAAUUCUAGACAAAUUAUAUAACAAGUGGCUUAAUAAAAAGGUGCCAAAUGGCAAAACCAUUUCCAUAUAAUAAAAUAAUUGAUGAAGACUACAUUAAAUAUAAAAAUUAUCUUCUUCUUCCUCAUAUUUUUCUAAGUAAAAAACGUCCACCAUGGGGAAGGAGAAACCGUGAGGUCCCAAGUGAGAACAUCUCUAAUUUUCCGUCGAAACGUCGAUCCGAUAGCGUAAAACCUAAUAAAUCGAGCGAAGGAGCCUAUAGUGCGUUUUGGACACAAAAGGAAUAGACCUAGAAGAUAGCGAAAGGUUAGAGUCGAUACUAUGUCAGUGGUGUUACGCAGCUUUGCAUCUUUGGUGAGUCACUGGUGGUCAACUUGGUUUAGUAGUUGUGGCAUGUUGUGUAAUAGUUUAAUCUUUAACCUUCUGCUGGAUAAAUGUUAAGUUUUUAAAUGUAAUAGAUUUUAAUUGUGUUUAUAAGCUAAAAAGAAAAAGGAAAAUUUUAGCA